CACCGCGGAUGCUAACGUCCGUGGUGGAGAGGGAAACAACCCUGACCGACAGCUAAGGCCCCCAAUUCAUGGCUAAGUGGGAAAGCAGGUGGGACGACCAAAACAACCAGGAGGUUGGCUUAGAAGCAGCCAUCCUUUAAAGAUAGCGUAACAGCUCACUGGUCUAAACAAGUUGUCCUGCGGCGAAGAUGUAACGGGGCUCAAGCCAUGAGCCGAAGCUUAGGAUGCCGUAAGGCAUGGUA
rnacentral:rRNA from 10 species